UUAAGCGACUAAGCGUACACGGUGGAUGCCCUGGCAGUCAGAGGCGAUGAAGGACGUGCUAAUCUGCGAUAAGCGUCGGUAAGGUGAUAUGAACCGUUAUAACCGGCGAUUUCCGAAUGGGGAAACCCAGUGUGAUUCGUCACACUAUCAUUAACUGAAUCCAUAGGUUAAUGAGGCGAACCGGGGGAACUGAAACAUCUAAGUACCCCGAGGAAAAGAAAUCAACCGAGAUUCCCCCAGUAGCGGCGAGCGAACGGGGAGCAGCCCAGAGCCUGAAUCAGUGUGUGUGUUAGUGGAAGCGUCUGGAAAGGCGCGCGAUACAGGGUGACAGCCCCGUACACAAAAAUGCACAUACUGUGAGCUCGAUGAGUAGGGCGGGACACGUGGUAUCCUGUCUGAAUAUGGGGGGACCAUCCUCCAAGGCUAAAUACUCCUGACUGACCGAUAGUGAACCAGUACCGUGAGGGAAAGGCGAAAAGAACCCCGGCGAGGGGAGUGAAAAAGAACCUGAAACCGUGUACGUACAAGCAGUGGGAGCACAGAGCAAUCUGUGUGACUGCGUACCUUUUGUAUAAUGGGUCAGCGACUUAUAUUCUGUAGCAAGGUUAACCGAAUAGGGGAGCCGAAGGGAAACCGAGUCUUAACUGGGCGUUAAGUUGCAGGGUAUAGACCCGAAACCCGGUGAUCUAGCCAUGGGCAGGUUGAAGGUUGGGUAACACUAACUGGAGGACCGAACCGACUAAUGUUGAAAAAUUAGCGGAUGACUUGUGGCUGGGGGUGAAAGGCCAAUCAAACCGGGAGAUAGCUGGUUCUCCCCGAAAGCUAUUUAGGUAGCGCCUCGUGAAUUCAUCUCCGGGGGUAGAGCACUGUUUCGGCAAGGGGGUCAUCCCGACUUACCAACCCGAUGCAAACUGCGAAUACCGGAGAAUGUUAUCACGGGAGACACACGGCGGGUGCUAACGUCCGUCGUGAAGAGGGAAACAACCCAGACCGCCAGCUAAGGUCCCAAAGUCAUGGUUAAGUGGGAAACGAUGUGGGAAGGCCCAGACAGCCAGGAUGUUGGCUUAGAAGCAGCCAUCAUUUAAAGAAAGCGUAAUAGCUCACUGGUCGAGUCGGCCUGCGCGGAAGAUGUAACGGGGCUAAACCAUGCACCGAAGCUGCGGCAGCGACGCUUAUGCGUUGUUGGGUAGGGGAGCGUUCUGUAAGCCUGCGAAGGUGUGCUGUGAGGCAUGCUGGAGGUAUCAGAAGUGCGAAUGCUGACAUAAGUAACGAUAAAGCGGGUGAAAAGCCCGCUCGCCGGAAGACCAAGGGUUCCUGUCCAACGUUAAUCGGGGCAGGGUGAGUCGACCCCUAAGGCGAGGCCGAAAGGCGUAGUCGAUGGGAAACAGGUUAAUAUUCCUGUACUUGGUGUUACUGCGAAGGGGGGACGGAGAAGGCUAUGUUGGCCGGGCGACGGUUGUCCCGGUUUAAGCGUGUAGGCUGGUUUUCCAGGCAAAUCCGGAAAAUCAAGGCUGAGGCGUGAUGACGAGGCACUACGGUGCUGAAGCAACAAAUGCCCUGCUUCCAGGAAAAGCCUCUAAGCAUCAGGUAACAUCAAAUCGUACCCCAAACCGACACAGGUGGUCAGGUAGAGAAUACCAAGGCGCUUGAGAGAACUCGGGUGAAGGAACUAGGCAAAAUGGUGCCGUAACUUCGGGAGAAGGCACGCUGAUAUGUAGGUGAAGUCCCUCGCGGAUGGAGCUGAAAUCAGUCGAAGAUACCAGCUGGCUGCAACUGUUUAUUAAAAACACAGCACUGUGCAAACACGAAAGUGGACGUAUACGGUGUGACGCCUGCCCGGUGCCGGAAGGUUAAUUGAUGGGGUCAGCGCAAGCGAAGCUCUUGAUCGAAGCCCCGGUAAACGGCGGCCGUAACUAUAACGGUCCUAAGGUAGCGAAAUUCCUUGUCGGGUAAGUUCCGACCUGCACGAAUGGCGUAAUGAUGGCCAGGCUGUCUCCACCCGAGACUCAGUGAAAUUGAACUCGCUGUGAAGAUGCAGUGUACCCGCGGCAAGACGGAAAGACCCCGUGAACCUUUACUAUAGCUUGACACUGAACAUUGAGCCUUGAUGUGUAGGAUAGGUGGGAGGCUUUGAAGUGUGGACGCCAGUCUGCAUGGAGCCGACCUUGAAAUACCACCCUUUAAUGUUUGAUGUUCUAACGUUGACCCGUAAUCCGGGUUGCGGACAGUGUCUGGUGGGUAGUUUGACUGGGGCGGUCUCCUCCUAAAGAGUAACGGAGGAGCACGAAGGUUGGCUAAUCCUGGUCGGACAUCAGGAGGUUAGUGCAAUGGCAUAAGCCAGCUUGACUGCGAGCGUGACGGCGCGAGCAGGUGCGAAAGCAGGUCAUAGUGAUCCGGUGGUUCUGAAUGGAAGGGCCAUCGCUCAACGGAUAAAAGGUACUCCGGGGAUAACAGGCUGAUACCGCCCAAGAGUUCAUAUCGACGGCGGUGUUUGGCACCUCGAUGUCGGCUCAUCACAUCCUGGGGCUGAAGUAGGUCCCAAGGGUAUGGCUGUUCGCCAUUUAAAGUGGUACGCGAGCUGGGUUUAGAACGUCGUGAGACAGUUCGGUCCCUAUCUGCCGUGGGCGCUGGAGAACUGAGGGGGGCUGCUCCUAGUACGAGAGGACCGGAGUGGACGCAUCACUGGUGUUCGGGUUGUCAUGCCAAUGGCACUGCCCGGUAGCUAAAUGCGGAAGAGAUAAGUGCUGAAAGCAUCUAAGCACGAAACUUGCCCCGAGAUGAGUUCUCCCUGACUCCUUGAGAGUCCUGAAGGAACGUUGAAGACGACGACGUUGAUAGGCCGGAUGUGUAAGCGCAGCGAUGCGUUGAGCUAACCGGUACUAAUGAACCGUGAGGCUUAACCUU
rnacentral:rRNA from 1 species